GGAGACGUGGCGCGUACCACUCCUUCGGCCGUUGAGCAGCUCACUUGGAAUGAGCAGGUCGGCAGUUCGAGUCCGCUCGUCGGCU
rnacentral:tRNA from 1 species